GGGGAAAAUGAUCCUACAUAUGUCACUAGGGAUGAACAAGAAAAGGAGGGCCCAACAAACAUGCCAGUCCACCUGCAUCUUCCCAUGUCCAAAGGUCACAGGAGGUGUCCUCCAUGGCAGGCGGCGAUGAGGAGGAGCCGAGGCGUUCUGUUGGUGUGCCUGCUGCUAGACACUUCAGACUUCAUCUCCUACAAAGAGCGUGCUACAGUUUGUCCUACUAAUAAAGUCGCUGACUCUCAAUGAGACUGUUUUCUCAAGGGUAUUAGGAGAAAAAAUGAUUUCCGAGAGCUGUGAUGCUAUUUGUAAAAUACUGGAUCAUGUGGCAGUUGCAAAUCUGUUGUAUCCCCCUGGAAUUUCUCCACGAAGUCAAUCCUCCAAGCUUUCCGCAGCAUAGAGUUUCACUGAAGGUAGGGGUUCCAGUAAUGCUACUGAGAAAUAUCAAUCAAGCUAUGUACUUUGCAAUGGUACUCGCUUAAUUUUAAGCGACUCGGCGAGUGGGUUGUAGAAGCUAAAAUUAUGACAGCAACCAACGUUGGUGAACAUGUGUGCAUGCCAAAAAUUGUUUUGUACAGCCACAAAGUGCCCUUUCACACUGCAUUGCCAUCAUUAUCCAAUUGAAUGUGUCGGGUUAUCCAUAUGCCCCUCUGUGUUAUUGUACUCUCUUCCAUUUUGCUUUCGAUCUGUCAUUCAUCUUGUUUUCUAACAAUUAUCUUUACGGGUGUUCUCUUAUGUUCAGGUUUUUGGUGCCCAUAGGGUUUACCGGCCCAUUCAUGGACUGCUGUAUCCU